UGAGGAAUAUUGGUCAAUGGGCGAGAGCCUGAACCAACCAAGUCGCGUGAGGGAAGACGGUCCUACGGAUUGUAAACCUCUUUUGUCGGGGAGCAAUAAAGCGUACGCGUACGCAGAUGCGAGUACCCGAAGAAAAGCAUCGGCUAACUCCGUGCCAGCAGCCGCGGUAAUACGGACGAUGCGAGCGUUAUCCGGAUUUAUUGGGUUUAAAGGGUGCGCAGGCGGAAAGUGCAAGUCAGCGGUCAAACGACGGGGCUCAACCCCGUCUCGCCGUUGAAACUGUCUUUCUAGAGUGAGCGAGAAGUAUGCGGAAUGCGUGGUGUAGCGGUGAAAUGCAUAGAUAUCACGCAGAACUCCGAUUGCGAAGGCAGCAUACCGGCGCUCAACUGACGCUCAUGCACGAAAGCGUGGGGUAUCGAACAGGAUUAGAUACC
rnacentral:rRNA from 1 species